UUCAGCUCUGGGGAAAGGGAUCCAGUGGGAUCUUCAGCUCUGGGGAAAGGGAUCCAGUGGGAUCUUCAGCUCUGGGGAAAGGGAUCCAGUGGGAUCUCCAGCUCUGGGGAAAGGGAUCCAGUGGGAUCUUCAGCUCUGGGGAAAGGGAUCCAGUGGGAUCUUCAGCUCUGGGGAAAGGGAUCCAGUGGGAUCUUCAGCUCGGGAAAGGGAUCUAGUGGGAUCUUCAGCUCUGGGGAAAGGGAUCUAGUGGGAUCUUCAGCUCUGGGGAAAGGGAUCCAGUGGGAUCUUCAGCUCUGGGGAAAGGGAUCCAGUGGGAUUGGGCUGUGACCUCUGGAUCCCCAGCCUCUGCCAUUUAAAUAAUGAUCAACUGCUGGUUAGCAAUCCAUCCUGGCAUAACUACAAAACAAUGACGUUUACUUCUCCCAUUUAACAAAUGUGUUGCCGGUUGUUUACCAUCAUUCAGUACUAGGGUCGGGCUCUACCUCGAUUCCAUUUCAAAUCCGUUCAUUUAGAAGCAUUGAAAUUCCAUGUCAUGAAUUGAAACAUGCUUAUCUGAUCUUAAGUGACUUUUUUCCAGCCAUAUUAUGUAAUUUAUGUAAUGUUUUUGUCUCCCCAACAGCGACUACACAAAAUCUAGAUUUGAGAUGCAUUUAAUUCAUAAUCAGAGGCAAUAAGAUGCAAGGUGCAAUUUGAACAUUUACAUGUUGGCCUGUCGUGAAUAGUUUAAAAUUGUUAUUUUAAGUUGAGACCUUGUAACAUGUUAAGUUGAGACCUAUGUAACACCCAAAGCCAGCGGCUAUUUUUUAGCCAUUUAUUUUGCAUGAGCUUGGCAAGACAUUACAGAGUAACUUGUGGUUGCUGGUAUUUUCUGGGUCUUAAUCAACGUCAUCAGUUUGUCUUGUCAAUUUAUUGCAUGCGUUUUUGUUUGCAUACAUCGGGGUUUGCACAGUGACCACAGUCCCGGAGUUUACAUUUUCAUAGUUAAAUAACUGAAGUUGAACUACAAGGUAAUGUUCCCACUCUGGGAAGCUAUAGAUAAAUCAUAGUCUUUGGGGCAGUGCAAUCACACGUACAAGGUGUGUGUUGUUAAAAGAAUAGCACUAACACCUGUCUAAUGAUGUAUUUCUGUUUGUUUGAUAGUACAAAAUGUUAUUUACGACUCAUUAGAAUGUCUCUGUAACCAGUGCUGGUGCCGUUGUGAUCCUAAAUGACUGGAUUGUUCUCUUUGCAGAAAUCUGGAACAAAAAUUGUUAUAUUAUGAUGGACUUGGUUUAAAUAAAGAACUUCAAUGACUGGUCUUAUCUCAUACUGUUGCAUAAAUGAAUGACAGUAAGAAAAGAGCAACCGAGGCUUGACCUAGAAAGAUGAUUCCCUUUCACUCAUUCUCCCCAUACUCUUACUCUCUUCAAUUUAUCCUGGGAACAUGUAUAAAAAACAGAGUUAUAAUCAGACUGCUUGUUUAGCACUUGACAUCACAUGUCUGAAUGUG
ensembl:lncRNA